rnacentral:piRNA from 1 species
UGGUGCAUGCGGAGGAGGCAGACGCAA